ensembl:lncRNA
GUCAAACAAUGUUUGACUUCAUAAUCAGUUCUCUGAGACUUGAUUAUGACGUCGGGCAUUAGUCGAUGUGAGAUGUGUCGGUAAAAACAACCCGAGUCAGGGAUCUUUUUCACUGACUGUACACUGAGAAGAUUACACAAGAUUUAGGUAAUAUUUUCUAAAUGUGAUGUCCUUGGUUUUAUCAUAUGUGCAUGUUUAGCCUAUUUUCCCAUACGUUUAUUAAUUGAUUUCACCUCGCAAGAUGCAAAGGAAAGUUACAUUUACAUUUACAUUUAAGUCAUUUAGCAGACGCUCUUAUCCAGAGCGACUUACAAAUUGGUGCAUUCACCUUAUGAUAUCCAGUGGAACAACCACUUUACAAUAGUGCAUCUAAAUCAAGUUGCCACGAUUAUUAUUUAAUCAUUGAAUAGAAAGGGGGAAAACUGUUGCUGACCAGAUAUUGCCACAGGGUGACGCGAAAAAAAGAGAGAUCCUAAGAGACAGCCUUAACUCAAAAUAAGAGGGUGUUUUGCAACUGUCUGUCUGGCCCGCGGACUCCUCCUCCUCCUAACUGUCAGUAGCAACGUCCUGGUUGAGUCCCGUUUGCCUUGUGCUAGCAAAUACUGUAUCAUUUUUUGGGGGGUGAAAGUGUUACGAAGAGCCAACAAAGGGGUUGGCUCUUUAUACCCCGUCCUGUCUGCCACUAAGUUGUUGUUCGGAAAUGUGUAGGGCUGCUGGUUGCAAUUAGCCAAGUUAUCGUUCCAUUAGAGAGGGGUUCCGUUUGACAGCUCGCCGCCUGGGACAGGGAGCUCGCGCUCUGCCUCUGCCUUACCCAUGAUGGCGACCCAAGAAGCGGACAUGUCGCGGCGCAGUAUGAGGCUGGUUUUAGGGGGAUACUACCACCAGUCAUCAGACGAUGAUGAGUCCUCCUCAGUUUCCUACAGGGAGAGCCCCGUGAGGGUUUUUACUAAGAGGAAGACAGGUGGUCGUAAAGUGGCGGCCUCUCGUACCUCCAGCCGGGCCAACAGCGUGGCUAGCACCGCUAGCAGCAAGGGUAGUACAGUGGAGCCACCCAUCAAUGCUGAGGACUACAUUGGGGUCUCAAGCUUGGUUCAGAGGAGGAAGACCUUCCAGGAACCUCCGGCCCCAGCCCCCAGCCUGAACCUGGCUCCCAGCCCCAGGGGCUUCUCGUCCUGCCAGACCGGCCUGAACCAGGCCCAGAGCCAUAGCAGCGCCAUAGACAGCUCUGGUUACUCCUCUUCAGAGGCAAGACGUUUCAGAGGAUACUCUGGAGACUCCUCCUUAGGCGAACAAAGGGUUAGCGCCAGCCAGAGAUCUGGCACUAACAGGACAAGUGCUAGUGCCAGCUGGAGUGAGUACUGUGUGUGUGCUAGUGUAGCAUUAGCUGGUCUCUAUGCUUGUAGCUUGUUUGUUAGCAUUAGUUUUAUCUCUGUCUCCUCCUGUAGCCCCUCCGUUUAUCCCGGCCGAUGUGGGGAAGGCCAUUCUAAUUGCCAUCCUCCUCAUACUCUUGACCUUCGGCUGCUGGCACCUUGCCCCUUUGGUAUGGGCCACCCUGACUUCAGCCCUGAAUGCUAUCACUAUGACCCUGAACCGACCUGUCAUCACCCCGACUCCGCCACCUGA